UACGAAGGGGGCUAGCGUUGCUCGGAAUCACUGGGCGUAAAGCGCACGUAGGCGGAUUGCUAAGUCAGGGGUGAAAUCCUGGAGCUCAACUCCAGAACUGCCUUUGAUACUGGCGAUCUUGAGUCCGGGAGAGGUGAGUGGAACUGCGAGUGUAGAGGUGAAAUUCGUAGAUAUUCGCAAGAACACCAGUGGCGAAGGCGGCAUCCUGGACCGGCAUUGACGCUGAGGCGCGAAAGCCAGGGGAGCAAACGGG
rnacentral:rRNA from 1 species